GCACCUACUCGCUUGCCUACGGUGACUCCUUCGUCAAGACCAUCUCCUGCCCCUACCCUAAAUCCCACAGCUCAUCCCACAUCUUCUCCAACAUCUGUGUACUCGUGUCCACAAGUCACGUU
rnacentral:ribozyme from 1 species